UCAGCUGUCUCUUUACCUGUCUCCGCUUGGGUAAAAGGAGAUGCUUUCAUUGAUGGCUAUUACGGAAACACUUGGGAGCUGAAGACCAGCCCAAGGAGGAGGACUCGCUGUGCUCUCCCCACCACCAUCCCCUCCCCCUGCUUGCUGCCAGAAACCAACUGACUUCCAAACUUGGCUGUCUGAAAAAGAAUGUUCUCUGAUUGGCAUUCCUGGAAGCAGAAAGCGAGGCAGCUCAAGUUUUGUUCUGUUACUCAGCAGGAAAAAAACUUCCCAGGUAUACAUAAUACAAAAACAAACAGCAGGAGGAGAGGGUGCAGGAAACACUUUGAUCUCCCUGGCAAAUCUUUUCCAGAACUGUCUUGCAAACUUUGAACUCAUCCUAAUUAUCUUACUUUCUCUUCUUUCUCGCUGCCUUUGUGGAGUCAACUAGGGAAAUCAGGCCUGAUUACUUCUACUGAUAAAGAAAAAGAAAAAGAAUUCAGCCUAAGAGAGACAGAGCCUCCCUCUUUGGAGUGCCUGGUGACCCCUUCCCCUCAGGGCUCUGGUUCCCUGUCCGGGGAACCCCUCUAACCCACGUGAGCAACAGUGCAUGAACCCAGGCCCAUGAACCCAGAUGACGGUGAGCCACACAGUUCUCAACUGCACAUCCAGUCACCAGAUGCAUCACAAAUACUUAUCUAAGGCAGCACAGAAGAGGAGGAGGUCAUUCUUUAAAAGAGGAAAGUUAGUCUUCACCGCAUUGUAACCCAAAGAUAAAUUCCUCAGGCCUCAAGAAAAUAGAAGGCAAAAGACUGUGGCAGCUUCCUCAGAUAUUCACUCUUCAAUCAUUAAGUUAGCUAUUUUGGAGAUUGCUCAAAAAACUAAAAAUAGAGUUACCAUAUGAUCCAGCAAUUGCACUCCUGGGCAUAUAUCCAGAGGGAACUCUAAUUUGAAAAGAUACAUGCACCCCAAUGUUCACAGCAGCACUAUUUACAAU